CAUGUGCUCGGCAUAGCUCUGACCUUCUUGCUUGCUGGCUGUUGAACAUCAGCGGUUCUACAAAGCAGUGUGGCCAGGCAGAGGUGGGGACCCAGGACUGGACUUGGUCACUGUUCAAUCCUCCUCUAUGACACUUUUUAAAAGAGAGAUUGUGUUUCUGCUUGCUAAGGUAGUGGUAUAAUGCUGGCAGAAGGAUGAAAUUUGUGAUGGACUUAAUUGGCAGAGCACUGAUUCCAGGACCUGAGUUGGAAACCCCGUUCAACCAGGGAGCAAUUCCAAUGAAAUUCAGCCAGAGUAUGAUGUCUGAUGACCUAGACACCAUCCUAGGCUACGAAAACAAGAGGAAGGAUGGUUGAAGAACAGGCAGGAAUCCUUGAGGACUUAGUGGAUAAAGUCACUGGCCUGGGUCAUCUGAAUUUGUGAAGUGAAAAUAAAAUCUGAUGUCACUGAGGCAAUGUUAUUCACAGUUAAAUAUACCUUGGCUCAUAAAAUGA